AUGAGUACCAUUAGCUGGAACUGUCGAGGGCUUGGGAACCCUCAGACAGUUCGAGAGCUUCGCAAGAUUGUGAAGCAGGAAGGUCCCACCCAUCUGUUCAUCAUGGAAACUAAAAUAAAGGGCAAGAGAGUGGAAGACAUGAAAUUUUCUUUAGGUUUUUCGGGUUGUUUUGCCAUCGAUAGUGAUGGCCUUAGUGGUGGUAUUGGCCUCUUUUGGUCAAAAGAUGUGGAGGUUCAGUUGAAAAACUAUGGCCGUUCACAUAUUGAUGUCUCUAUUAAGCAGAACAAUAAAACUUGGCAUUUUACUGGUUUCUAUGGAGAGCCCAUGUUGGAGAACCGACACCACAGCUGGCGUUUUCUCCAGACUUUGUUUGCUAUACCGCAUGAUGCAUGGAUCUGUAUGGGAGAUUUUAAUGAAACGUUGCAGGCGGAUGAGCACUUUAGUGUCAAUCCACGACCAGAAUAUCAGAUGAGGGCUUUCCGGGAUGUGGUGUUAGACUGUCUCCUCCAGGAUCUCGGAUGGAGAGGAAUUCCCUACACAUGGGAUAAUAGGCAGGCAGGGGCAGCAAACAUGAAGGCUCGUUUGGAUCGUGCCCUUGCAAUCGAACGGUUUCUGAAUCUAUUUCAGUUCACAACGGUGAAACAUGUAAGCAGUAUCGAUUCGGAUGAUUGCUUUGUGAUGACCCACAAGUAUAGGGGAUCUAUCGUAGUCCUUUCGAUAAGUAAGAGUGUCAAACCUAACGAGGAGCAGAAGGAAAUGAUGAGCGGUUUUCAGCAAGGUAUUCUCUGCAAGUACUGA
rnacentral:rRNA from 1 species